rnacentral:rRNA from 1 species
GUCUACGGCCAUGCUACCCUGAACAAGCCCCAUCCUAUCUGAUCUCGGGAAGCUAAGCAGAGUUGGGCCUGGUUAGUACUUGCAUGGGAGACCACCUAGAAAGACCAGGUGCUGUAGGCU